AAAAUCCAACCUGGGGCUCAUCAUCGGCUGCGUUGUGGCUGCCCUUGUCCUGGCGUGUGUGAUUGCUGGGAUCCUGGUAUUCUUCAAGAAAUGUGAAGGUGGCUACAAAGCAGCAAAAACAAGUGACAAAGGAGCCAACAAUUGGAGCUGGGUAAGUCAGUGGGAGUUGCUCCUGAAUAAAC